CCGCUUCGGGUAGGGGACGCUGAGGGUGCGCAGCCGGAGGAUGGAGGAGCUCGUCCUCCCUGGUGGCCUCAGUUGGGUGCCUGUCAUCAUCCUCCUUGUCCCCGUCACCGUCAGAGCCAGUCUCAUCCGAGUUGUCCUCCAGGUAUGUCCCCACCGCCACCACCAGCGUCAGCAGCAUGAUGGACAGCUUGGCCUGAGGCACAUGGAGUUUUGGGAUUGUCGUGG